rnacentral:rRNA from 1 species
GGAUGCGAUCAUACCAGCACUAAAGCACCGGAUCCCAUCAGAACUCCGAAGUUAAGCUUGCUUGGGCGAGAGUAGUACUAGGAUGGGUGACCUCCUGGGAAGUCCUCGUGUUGCAUUUC